rnacentral:rRNA from 1 species
GAGUUUGAUCUUGGCUCAGAUUGAACGCUGGCGGCAGGCCUAACACAUGCAAGUCGAGCGGUAGAGAGAAGCUUGCUUCUCUUGAGAGCGGCGGACGGGUGAGUAAUGCCUAGGAAUCUGCCUGGUAGUGGGGGAUAACGCUCGGAAACGGACGCUAAUACCGCAUACGUCCUACGGGAGAAAGCAGGGGACCUUCGGGCCUUGCGCUAUCAGAUGAGCCUAGGUCGGAUUAGCUAGUUGGUGAGGUAAUGGCUCACCAAGGCGACGAUCCGUAACUGGUCUGAGAGGAUGAUCAGUCACACUGGAACUGAGACACGGUCCAGACUCCUACGGGAGGCAGCAGUGGGGAAUAUUGGACAAUGGGCGAAAGCCUGAUCCAGCCAUGCCGCGUGUGUGAAGAAGGUCUUCGGAUUGUAAAGCACUUUAAGUUGGGAGGAAGGGCAGUAAAUUAAUAACUUUGCUGUUUUGACGUUACCGACAGAAUAAGCACCGGCUAACUCUGUGCCAGCACG